UUACUCUGACUUCUCUUCAGAUCGUAUAAAUCUUUCGCCUUUUACUAAAGAUUUCCGUGGAGAGGAUCAAUAAGAGUUAUACCCAAUUUUUUGAUGCCUUGCUUUAUGCGAGGCU